rnacentral:rRNA from 1 species
CGUGAGGAACCUGCCUUUCAGAGGGGGACAACAGUUGGAAACGACUGCUAAUACCGCAUGACACAUUGGAGUCGCAUGGCUCUGAUGUCAAAGAUUUAUCGCUGAAAGAUGGCCUCGCGUCUGAUUAGCUAGUUGGUGAGGUAACGGCCUACCAAGGCGACGAUCAGUAGCCGACCUGAGAGGGUGACCGGCCACAUUGGGACUGAGACACGGCCCAA